rnacentral:rRNA from 1 species
GAGUUUGAUCAUGGCUCAGAUUGAACGCUGGCGGCAUGCCUUACACAUGCAAGUCGAACGGCAGCACGGGGGCAACCCUGGUGGCGAGUGGCGAACGGGUGAGUAAUACAUCGGAACGUGUCCUGUAGUGGGGGAUAGCCCGGCGAAAGCCGGAUUAAUACCGCAUACGAUCUGUGGAUGAAAGCGGGGGAUCCUUCGGGACCUCGCGCUACAGGGGCGGCCGAUGGCAGAUUAGCUAGUUGGUGGGGUAAAGGCCUACCAAGGCGACGAUCUGUAGCUGGUCUGAGAGGACGACCAGCCACACUGGGACUGAGACACGGCCCANACUCCUACGGGAGGCAGCAGUGGGGAAUUUUGGACAAUGGGCGAAAGCCUGAUCCAGCAAUGCCGCGUGUGUGAAGAAGGCCUUCGGGUUGUAAAGCACUUUUGUCCGGAAAGAAAACCUCGUGGUUAAUACCCGUGGGGGAUGACGGUACCGGAAGAAUAAGCACCGGCUAACUACGUGCCAGCAGCCGCGGUAAUACGUANGGUGCAAGCGUUAAUCGGAAUUACUGGGCGUAAAGCGUGCGCAGGCGGUUCGCUAAGACAGAUGUGA